rnacentral:rRNA from 1 species
AGUGAACGCUGGCGGUAGGCCUAACACAUGCAAGUCGAACGGAAGCACAGGAGAGCUUGCUCUCUGGGUGGCGAGUGGCGGACGGGUGAGGAAUACAUCGGAAUCUACUUUUUCGUGGGGGAUAACGUAGGGAAACUUACGCUAAUACCGCAUACGACCUACGGGUGAAAGCAGGGGACCUUCGGGCCUUGCGCGAUUGAAUGAGCCGAUGUCGGAUUAGCUAGUUGGCGGGGUAAAGGCCCACCAAGGCGACGAUCGGGCACGUAGCUGGGUGGAUGAGCAGCCAAGCUGGAACUGAGAGACGGUGCAGAGUCCGAAGAGUGGCAGCAGUGGGGAAUAUUGCACAAUGGGCGCAAGCCUGAUCCAGCCAUACCGCGUGGGUGAAGAAGGCCUUCGGGUUGUAAAGCCCUUUUGUUAGGAAAGAAACCCAGCUGGCUAAUACCCGGUUGGGAUGACGGUACCCAAAGAAUAAGCCCCGGCUAACUUCGUGCCAGCAGCCGCCGUAA